AGGGAGAACUCAGUGCAAUGGUUUAAAGCAGGGGUUCUGGUUGCAAACUGUCUAGCUUGAACCCUUGCUUUGCCAUUUGCCAGUGUGCAGCCUUAGGUUAUUGUGAUGAUCUGAUGCACAGUCUGGAAAAGAUACAGUGGCUACUUAUUUGCUGGGCAUGGCACAACUCAACAGCUCUUAACAUCUCUUCUGGGGGACAAGAUGUUGCCAUACUCCAUCUGACAAUAUGCCUGUCAUUUUCCUGCUGUUCUCAGAAGCACCACUGUGCUGCCUCCAGGGAAAGAGCCUUUUGGAAAUAAGUGCUUUUUGAAGAUGUUUACAUCAGUGGUGAACAGCGAGUAAGGAAUUGAAAUGUAAGUACCAUUUGUAGUUUGGAUUCUGCUUUCUUUUCUUUUCUUUUUUUCUUUUUGCUGUGAAACAUGGCUGGGAGCCAUGGGCACCAUUCCUUUUUAGGAGACUGAUGCCCUCAUUUACAUGGCUGUCUUAGAUAGCUGCAUACAAUGCCAGUAAAUGGACAGAAAUCAGUGUUAAAUAGCAGCACUCAGGAGCAGAAACACUCAGGCAAAACCUGUUACAACCAAGUUGGAGAAGGAUAUGUUUUAGACACUGCAGAAAUUGUGUUCUAUGAUCGAUGGAG
rnacentral:lncRNA from 1 species